rnacentral:rRNA from 1 species
GUAGGUGGCAAGCGUUGUCCGGAAUUAUUGGGCGUAAAGCGCGCGCAGGCGGUCCUUUAAGUCUGAUGUGAAAGCCCACGGCUCAACCGUGGAGGGUCAUUGGAAACUGGGGGACUUGAGUACAGAAGAGGAAAGCGGAAUUCCAAGUGUAGCGGUGAAAUGCGUAGAGAUUUGGAGGAACACCAGUGGCGAAGGCGGCUUUCUGGUCUGUAACUGACGCUGAGGCGCGAAAGCGUGGGGAGCAAACAGGGAUUAGAUACCCUGGUAGUCCACGCCGUAAACGAUGAGUGCUAAGUGUUAGGGGGUUUCCCGCCCCUUAGUGCUGCAGCUAACGCAUCAAGCACUCCGCCUGGGGAUACGGCCGCAAGGCUG